UAACACUAUCGGAGAUAACUCAUCGUUUCCACCACACUAUCUCCCGCUGACUUCUACACUGUUGUUUUCCUAACGAUGGAUGGAUAUUUUCAACUGUGGAUGGAUCUUUCACUAAUCAACCUGGGAUGACAUUGACUUCCUUGGAGACAGUUGAUUGUACAUGGAACUACCAUUCUUCUUUCAAUGGCUGAUUUAUCCUUUACCAGUUCCAGCCUACCAGGGGAAAAGAGGAAACUUUCAAGCAAAACCUUAGAGAAGAGAGCAAUCAAACAUAAAAGAUUUGAUACAAUACAGCAACAGAAGCUGUCAGAAGAUGCAUCCUCUUGCUCAUCUAGUACUUCCGCAACUCUGCUAUCAUUGGAUUCAUCACCGGCAUGCUCUACAGGUGCAUUAUUGCCAGUACAAACGGAAAGAGAAAAUACUUUAGGUGCAGGCAUGCUGAAAAGCAUCAGUCUUGUACAAAGUCGAACAAGUGACUCCUUUUGUGCUGCUCAAGGGGCAUCUGUAAACAAGCCUUCCGUGAAUAUGCUUCUAAGAAACUCACUUGAGCAGAGUAGAGCCAAAUCUGGCAUCGAAGACUGCAGUAAUACGCAUGACUCUGCUUCAGAUACAUGUGAUCAGGCUGCUCGAGCUAAAGGCUCACAAACUAGCAUUGUUGAUGAGCUGUUCAAAGAAUUUAUUGCUGCCAAAAUGAAGCAAGUAUCUAAUGGAUCCAACAAUCCUAGUGUGAAACUGGUGCCAAGUGCUUGUAGGAAUGAGCAUGGAGCAGCUUCAGAUGACCCUGACCCUCUGGCUGUUUCUAUGGAGGAAAUCAACAGGUUAUUGGAUGCAGAGAUCACUUUUAUUCAAUCGCGAAGCACUGCAUCUUUGCAAGAUAUGGAUUCUGAAAAUAAUGAGGAAAACAGUUGUACAGAAACCUUGACAGCUGCUCAUAGUCCAGGGCAUCUGCCAUCCGAAUUCUUAGCCUCUGAUUUACAAGAGACUGCUACUGUAUCUGCAUCUACAAAAAUACCUGUGCAUAGAUUGUCUGCUCUUGUGUCUGACUUGAACAGUGGCAUUGAGAGAAACGAGAAACCAGUGAAGGUAUCCACACUUUCAUGUCACUUGCCUACCCUUGAGAAUAAAGAUGGGGUCACUUUGGCUGCAGAAACUAUUACUGAAGUUUGUCUUCCUGGAACCAAUGCAGAAAAGAACAACAUCCAGGUGAUGGUAAGUGGUGACAGUGAAGGACGUCAGGGUCAGAGGGUAGAGUCUAGACCUGUUUCUUUGCUUGGCAAAAAGCCUCAGGUGAAGAAACUUGAUAUAGCCAUCAGACAAGAGAGCUUAGCCCUCAUCAUGGGAGCAGCCAAGAUGACCUCAAGCAAGACAUUAAAGGAUGGAGAGGUAGCGUCUUCAAGUGAUAUUGAGGAAGAUAAACCCCAAACUGCCAGCCCGAAGGAGAAGGAAGACAAUGCAAGUGAUGAAAAUGAAGUAUCUGAGACAGGUUCAUUGUCAGAUACAGAUGAGGAUAAAAGUGGAGAUAAGGGCUCUUCCAAGUCAAAGAAAAAGAAGAAACAUAAGCACAAGCAUAAAAAAAAGAAGAAGCACAAAUCCCAGAGCAAGGACAGGAAGGAGCAGGAUAAGCACUCUUUAGAAAAGGAGAUGAAAAUUGCCAAAAAUAAAAUAAAAGAUGGCAAAACAAGAAAUGACGCUGAAGGGGCAACGGAUAAGAAGCACAGCAAGGAGAGGAGAGGAUCAGGCAGUAGUAAAAUUUCCCAUUCUUGUUCACGCUCGCCAUCACAAAGCAAGAAGGAGAGGAGAUCAAGAUCUCCUAGAAACUCACACAGAACCAGAUCCCAGAGCAAAGAAAGAAAAAGAUCAAGGGAGAGAUUUGACCCUUGGGAUGCAAGAAAUUAUAGAGACCGGAAGUGCUCAUCUCACCAUUCCAAAAGGACACAAAGUCGUUCUCGCAGUAGGUCACAUAACAGAUCUUGUGACAGGUCAAGGCGGAGGUCACGAGAUAGGUCCUCGGAAAAGAAGCAGCACAGAUCUCAUGGGCGCUAUCGUUCACAUGAUCCAGAGAGGUCUUCUCAUGAAAAAGAGGACCAUAAGGAUUCCUUGGAUGAUCUUCGAAUCAGAAUUGAUAAAAACAAACUCAGGAAAAUUGCAAUUGCUAAUGCUUUGGCCAACAUGGAAUCAGGCCAAGGGCCGCCUGUGGACAUUUCUACCAUAAAGUGUGGAGGAAAAUCUAUUGCAGAAUUGACAGACUUCUGCAAACGAAUCAGUGAGCGAGAGAAGGAGCAGCAGGCUGGUCACUUGUCAGACAGUGGCAGUAGUGAUGCAGAGGCCAACACCAGUGAGGCUGAAGACAGUCUUAUUCACCAUCCCUUCAAGUUGCGAGAUCCUUCCACUGUACCCAACAUUAUUAUGAACAUCAGGAAUGCUAAGCAGCUGCCAGUGCUGAGUCCACAAGAGAAACAAGCGCAGGCUGCAGUAUUGCGCUCACAGUUUCCUGUCUCCAGUGGAGUUCAGCACCGCACCAAAGAGUCUGAAUGGGUUCCUGUAACGCCGACCACUGCAGUGACAGCCACCACUGUGACAACAACCAGCAGCACACCCAGUGUGAUUACCACAUUCACAGAACCUGUCAGACUCUCACAGACUUUGCCAAUGAACCAAGUACCAGCAACUCCAGCUGAGCAGAGUGUAUUUCCUGAGGUCAUCCAACAGAGCAUAGAUAUCGGAUCCAUCAUUUCUGAGCGCCUGCAGGCGGUGAGGAAGCUUCAGGAGAAUCCUUUUGAUGUUCAGGCACUGUCAUCCAUGCACAAGGCUCAAGAAAAGGCUAAUCAAUGGGCAGCAUCCAAGCAACUCCCAGGACAGUUUCUAGGCAGCACAGGUGUUCAAUGUUUGACACCACAAGAACUAGCUGGACCUGACAAACGAAAUCAGGCUUGGGCCAGAAAAGUAGGUUUCUCUUUGAACACUUCAGUUAUUUUUAUUUAUUUUUUUUUGUCCUUGGACAAUUUCAGGGGUGUUUGGUUUCUGUAAAUCUUUGCCAGCUAUUCAGAUUUCCAAAUCCGAGCCCUUCUUUGAUGGACAGGUUCUCUUAGGAUUCAAGUCAAAGCCAAUCAUCUUUUUAUGUGAAAGUUUUUCAUUAUUAAAAAAAAAAGUAGGCAUGUGAAUUACAGGUUUCCUGCUCUGCACUGAGACAGAUGGAAUUUUCUUACUGGAGAGAAACCUGAUGUAAAUGAAAUGCAGGUUAGCUUAUGGUAACGCCUCUCAUCUCAGGGAUGAUGUUAUUAGGCAGUUUGGUUAACACAGCUGCAAGCUUUUUAUUUGACACAAAUAUGCUUGCAUGCACGCUUUUCCUAAGUAGUUGAAACUGAUCAGCUGUUUGGAUCAUUUGAAAAGGUCAAAGAAACUGCAUCUAGAAAGACUGAAACCCUUUUUUGUUGCAAGUACAUAAAGGUCAUUUAAAGUUGCUUGGUAAAUAAAAGACUACUUUAGCAAGAGUGUAAAAACUUCACAUAAGGGAUAAGAAUGGCUUGGUUUAGUUCUUUGAUGAAUCUCUGAAUUGUGACUCCUUUAAUGUCACAGAUUUGUUCAUGAAUGAUUCAUGUUUCAUUAACACUCUUUUUUUUUUCAGUCCCAUUAUUGCUUACACAUGUUUCAUUUAUUUAUUUCCUUAAUAUUUUUUGUGGAGGGGAGGGGUUAAUUUUUGUGAUACCUUGGUAAUUCUUGUCAUUGUUAUUUUCAUAUUUCCCUUUGUAUUCUUUUUCAAACAGUAUUUUUACUUUAGGCGAAGAAAUCUUAACACACUUUUUUGCUGAUCAGUAUGCUUAGUAGCUUAAAAUAAGCCUUUUAAAUUUAUUAUUAUUCAAAGUAUAAAAUGAGUAUAAAUUUUGGCGUUUGCGUUACAAGAUCUGUGUUUUCAACUCUACGUACCAUGCGGGAAGGUAGUAAAAACUCUAGGAAUCCAUUUGUAAAAAUUACAGUGCCUAUGUGUGCAAAGUAUCCAUUUUGAAUUUGGGGUUCUUUUUACUUGGAUCAGAUAAGAAAGAAAAUCUUAGUAAUUUCUUUGCAAGUACUCCUUGAAGGAGUGUUAAAAAAAAAGAAAACAGUAAAUGUAAAUGUAAACCAUGUUUAAUAUUCUUUUUUUCUGAGAGGAGGUGUUUGUGCCAAAACAUAAGCAGGAUUGUAGGUAGCAAGAUCAAGAUCAGCAAAGAAUUGUGUCUCUGUUGCCCAAGUUUAUUGUGCAGAUUGUAUCUGGACCACUUGAUGUUGCCAACCUUUGAAGAUCAUCUGAUGUCUAUGCAUCUAUGCAUUAUCAGCAUGAGGGUUUGAAAAUAAUAAAGUAAUUUGGGUAAUUUUAAAGUGGGUUUUGUUUUUUACCCAUAGCUGUUAAGUGUAAAAUUAUUAUGGAACUAUCUUACUGACCCUUCAUUAUUUUGCCAGGUAAACAAGAGCUCUAAUUAUUUGAGGAUUGAACCUAUUUCCUAAAUGAAUAAUUUGAGAAAAUAUUUUUGUAAACCUUGGAAUUGUGCCAAUCUGUAGAAUUCUAGACAGGAAAAUUUAUGAAAAAUGGGAAAGGAAAAGACAAGUCUUGGCCUAUUCCAUUUGAGCUUUUGCAUGGGUGACACCUACAUGAAAGAAGCUACCAAACUUUGUAAAAAUCAGUAAUAGGAGCAUUUACAUUUUUAUUGUGUCACGAUGCAAAAGUUUUGUUUCACACAAGGCUGGAAAUCUGGGCUUGAAAUGAUGCAGGGAAAGCUGACAGUUGAUAAAAUGAGUGUUUUAAAAAAAAGAGCCAGCCAAGAAAUGUUUUUAAUCAGUAACGUGAGAUAUACCAUCACUCAGUUGAUGAAGUAAAUACCACCAAUAAAAUUCUACCGCUUGCCAGUCUUGUGUGGACACACUAGCUUACAUCUUUGGAAGGGGAGCCCUCUCCCCAGCCAGAGGCGUUGGCUAAGUGUUCAGAGGUCAUUUCAGGUUGUACACAGGUGUUUAUUGAUGACGAGCCGUUCCAUUUGAGAGAGGAGAGUCAGUGCUCUUUAAUCUCUGCACUUGAGCUCUCUCUCAACAUGCUUGAUGGCAAUAGGCAAGAGUGGAUCAGUUCAAGACAGCAGCACCAGUGCAAG